UACGAAGGGGGCUAGCGUUGUUCGGAAUUACUGGGCGUAAAGGGCGCGUAGGCGGUGUGUCAAGUCAGGCGUGAAAGCCCCGGGCUCAACCUGGGAACCGCGCUUGAGACUGGCGACGCUAGAGUCCGGGAGAGGAUGGUGGAAUUCCCAGUGUAGAGGUGAAAUUCGUAGAUAUUGGGAGAACACCGGAUGGCGAAGGCAGCCAUCUGGACCGGCACUGACGCUG
rnacentral:rRNA from 1 species